CUGACUAAGGAAUAAGGAUGUAAUCAAUUUUUCAAGUAUUGUGGAUAACACACAUACUAAAAAAAAUCAAGAAACUGCGUUUUUAAUAGUGAGAAGAUAAGAUUGAAUGACAAGUUUUUAAUAAUUAGGGGCCUUGUUUUGGCAUUUAUUUCAUUAUUAGUAGAGGUGUAGGAUGAACCAAACCGACAACGAGGAGUCAAAGACUCGAGAGACUUGAAAAUUAAACAGAGACUUGAAAAUAGAUUCCCUUGAACAGACAAUAAUCGUCAAGAAUUUAGCUCUAUUUAGAAAUAAAAAAAAGGUUCUUUCCCUAGCUUUUAGCUUUUCCGGAAACAGUUGUGCUUCGUUUUAGAAGCAGAAAAGAGAAUUUCUCCGACACACUAUCAUCUAAUCUCAAACAAAUGGUGGAAAAUGUGAAGAUCUAACAAUUGAUUUAAAGUGGACUCAUGAGUAAAGUGUGCCAAGAUUAGACGCAUCAGUUACUACAAGCUAAGGUGAAUGUAAAACUAAUAUUUAUUUAUUAUGCAAAGAAGAUGAAGAACAAGUUGGGGAUGAUGAAGAAGUGGACUGGUGGUGUGUUGAUAACAACCCUUGCUCUAAUUUUUAUCAUCACCUACUUCUUUAUCAGCAAAUCUGAAUACCUUCCAAUUCCAAUAAACACUCUGCUUAUGACUUUUUCAAUCCACAUUCCGUCAAAGAGGAAGAUUCAGCUUCAGGUUCAGAUCCAGAUCCCAACUCUAACGCUACUGACGGCGACUUGCCCCAAGCAGAAGAAGUGCGGCAUACAGCUGCUGCAUUACCAAAACCCCACUUCACUACUCUUCAUGGGCUUAACGAUUUGUACAUUUUGAGCAAGAAUCUGACUAGACAAGACUCUUCUAAUGCUGCAUUGCUCACAUGGUCUCAAAUUAAAUUUCUGUUUCCCAGAUCCGACGUAUUGCCUGAAACUGCCCGAGGGAUUAAAGAGGUUUUCAUUGUGUUUAAACAUUUGCUUCGAAUGAUUGCAAAGGACAAUGCUUUUAAACUUGGCCAUGAUCCUUUGACGGAGAUUGUUUGGCCAUGAUCCUUUGACGGCGUCUUCUAAUACUACAUUAUUAUCGUCUUUUCUUGAGA